rnacentral:rRNA from 1 species
UUGAACGCUGGCGGUAGGCUUAACACAUGCAAGUCGUGCGAGAGAGUAUCUUCGGAUAUGAGUAGAGCGGCGGACGGGUGAGUAACGCGUAGGAAUCUACCUAGUAGAAGGGGAUAGCCCGGGGAAACCCGGAUUAAUACCGUAUACCUCCUUCGGGAGAAAGAAGGCCUCUCUUUGAAGCUUUCGCUACUAGAUGAGCCUGCGUAAGAUUAGCUUGUUGGUGGGGUAAUGGCCUACCAAGACUGUGAUCAAUAGCUAAUUUGAGAGGAUGAUCAGCCACAUUGGGACUGAGACACGGCCCAAACUCCUACGGGAGGCAGCAGUGGGGAAUCUUGC